CUAAUCGAACCGUCUAGUAGCUGGUUCCCUCCGAAGUUUCCCUUAGGAUAGCUGGAGCCCUUAGCGAGUUCUAUUGGGUAAAGCCAAUGAUUAGAGGCAUCGGGGGCGCACCGCCCUCGACCUAUUCUUAAACUUUAAAUAGGUAGGACGGUGCGGCUGCUUCGUUGAGCGGCACCACGGAAUCGAGAGCUCCAAGUGGGCCAUUU
rnacentral:ncRNA from 1 species